UUAAAGCUAGCCUAUAUACCAACUCAACUAGACCCUAUAAAUCUAAUUUAUAUCGUAAUUUUUAAUCAAAACAUUCUUAACCUUUCAGUAUGGGCGACAGAACAAUAACUCCAGCGCAAUAGCUUAUGUACCGCAAGGGAAAGCUGAAAAAGAAAUGAAAUAAAUCAUUAAAGUACCAAAAAGCAGAGAUUAUACCUCGUACCUUUUGCAUCAUGAUUUAGCUAGAAAAACUAGGCAAAAAGACCUUAAGUCUACCUCCCCGAAACUAAACGAGCUACUCCGAAGCAGCAUUAUAGAGCUAACCCAUCUCUGUGGCAAAAGAGUGGGAAGACUUCCGAGUAGCGGUGAAAAGCCUACCGAGUUUAGUGAUAGCUGGUUACCCAAGAAAAGAGCUUUAGCUCUGCAUUAAUUUUUUAUUAUCUAGACAAGACUUACUCGUCAAAGAAAUCUAUAAGAAUUAAUAGUUAUUUAGAAGAGGUACAGCCCUUCUAAACUAAGACACAACUUUUUAAGGUGGGAAACGAUCAUAAUUAUCAAGGUUACCAUCUUAGUGGGCCUAAAAGCAGCCACCUAUUAAGUAAGCGUCGCAGCUCUAAUCUAAUGAUUAAACCUUUAAUUCAGAUAUUUAUUCACAACCCCCUUCAUCCUAUUGGGUUAUUUUAUAUUUAUAUAAAAGAACUUAUGCUAAAAUGAGUAAUAAAGAGAACAAGUCUCUCCCGACACAAGUGUAUGUCAGAAAGAAUUAAAUCACUGAUAAUUAAACGACCCCAAACUGAGGUCAUUAUAUCACUUAAUCAUUAACUAGAAAAUCCUAUUUUCCUACUCGUUACCCCUACACAGGAGUGUCACCAGGAAAGA
rnacentral:rRNA from 1 species